rnacentral:rRNA from 1 species
CCGUGUUUAUUUUACCUUGUUGCUUCGGCGGGCCCGCCUUAACUGGCCGCCGGGGGGCUUACGCCCCCGGGCCCGCGCCCGCCGAAGACACCCUCGAACUCUGUCUGAAGAUUGUAGUCUGAGUGAAAAUAUAAAUUAUUUAAAACUUUCAACAACGGAUCUCUUGGUUCCGGCAUCGAUGAAGAACGCAGCGAAAUGCGAUACGUAAUGUGAAUUGCAAAUUCAGUGAAUCAUCGAGUCUUUGAACGCACAUUGCGCCCCCUGGUAUUCCGGGGGGCAUGCCUGUCCGAGCGUCAUUGCUGCCCUCAAGCACGGCUUGUGUGUUGGGCCCCGUCCUCCGAUCCCGGGGGACGGGCCCGAAAGGCAGCGGCGGCACCGCGUCCGGUCCUCGAGCGUAUGGGGCUUUGUCACCCGCUCUGUAGGCCCGGCCGGCGCUUGCCGAUCAACCCAAAUUUUUAUCCAGGUUGACCUCGGAUCAGGUAGGGAUACCCGCUGAACUUAAGCAUAUCAAUAAG